rnacentral:snoRNA from 1 species
ACCUUCCAGUUCCCUCCCCUAUGGGAUCAAACCACCGGACUGGGUGGUUGUAAAAGGAGGAAAAGAAACAUUGAAGCUGCCCCUCAGUGCUCUUGGAGCGCUGGCUAGUUUCAAACAGGG